rnacentral:rRNA from 1 species
GACGAACGCUGGCGGCGUGCUUAACACAUGCAAGUCGAACGGAAAGGCCCUGCUUUUGUGGGGUGCUCGAGUGGCGAACGGGUGAGUAACACGUGAGUAACCUGCCCUUGACUUUGGGAUAACUUCAGGAAACUGCGGCUAAUACCGGAUAGGAGCUCCUGCUGCAUGGUGGGGGUUGGAAAGUGUCGGCGGUUGGGGAUGGACUCGCGGCUUAUCAGCUUGUUGGUGGGGUAGUGGCUUACCAAGGCUUUGACGGGUAGCCGGCCUGAGAGGGUGACCGGCCACAUUGGGACUGAGGUACGGCCCAGACUCCUACGGGAGGCAGCAGUGGGGAAUAUUACACAAUGGGCGGAAGCCUGAUGCAGCAACGCCGCGUGCGGGAUAACGGCCUUCGGGUUGUAAACCGCUUUCGCCUGUGACGAAGCGUGAGUGACGGUAAUGGGUAAAGAAGCACCGGCUAACUACGUG